rnacentral:rRNA from 1 species
AGUGAACGCUGGCGGUAGGCCUAACACAUGCAAGUCGAACGGCAGCACAGUAAGAGCUUGCUCUUACGGGUGGCGAGUGGCGGACGGGUGAGGAAUACAUCGGAAUCUACUUUUUCGUGGGGGAUAACGUAGGGAAACUUACGCUAAUACCGCAUACGACCUACGGGUGAAAGCAGGGGAUCUUCGGACCUUGCGCGAUUGAAUGAGCCGAUGUCGGGUUAGCUAGUUGGCGGGGUAAAGGCCCACCAAGGCGACGAUCCGUAGCUGGUCUGAGAGGAUGAUCAGCCACACUGGAACUGAGACACGGUCCAGACUCCUACGGGAGGAAGCAGUGGGGAAUAUUGGACAAUGGGCGCAAGCCUGAUCCAGCCAUACCGCGUGGGUGAAGAAGGCCUUCGGGUUGUAAAGCCCUUUUGUUGGGAAAGAAAAGCAGCAGGUUAAUACCCCGCUGUUCUGACGGUACCCAAAGAAUAAGCACCGGCUAACUUCGUG